rnacentral:rRNA from 1 species
GUGCCAGCCGCCGCGGUAAUACGGAGGGUGCGAGCGUUAAUCGGAAUUACUGGGCGUAAAGCGCGCGUAGGCGGUUUAUUAAGCCAGAUGUGAAAGCCCCGGGCUUAACCUGGGAACUGCAUCUGGAACUGGUAAGCUAGAGUACAGUAGAGGACGGUAGAAUUCCACGUGUAGCGGUGAAAUGCGUAGAUAUGUGGAGGAAUACCAGUGGCGAAGGCGGCCUUCUGGACUGAUACUGACGCUGAGGUGCGAAAGCGUGGGGAGCAAACAGGAUUAGAUACCCUAGUAGUCC